CUCGAUAGUGAUUUUAUUUGUCCAAAUACAUGCAAAGACAGUUGUCAACAUUCAUUUUUGUAAGAUGGGGUUCCAGAUUUUUUCUCCCUCCUUCUCUUAGCUCCCGCCUCCCCAAGACCACAAGCAAUCUGACGCAGGUUAAAUAUGCACAACCCUUUUAACCUUUCCUUUUCGUGUUGUGCAAGAAAAAUUAGACCAAAAGGGUUAGGACAAAAAAAAGGGGGGGGGGGGGGGGAGAAAGCAAACAAGGAACAAAAGGGCCGCAGACUCCAGCUCGGAUCCACUCUCCGGGGUUUUGCGGUGGUGGUCGGCGCUUCCCCCUCCCCCCAGCCUGUGGGAGUGCCUCCGAUCCCCGCGGAGAGCCGGGCGGCCCCAGCGGGCGGCUCCCGCUCUGGCUGUGGCCGGCCGACGUUCCCCAGGCUCUGCGCGCUUCCGGGCCGGGCUUGGAGCAGCCCCUCGCGCGUUUGGGCAGGUCCUCGCUGUGGGACGCGGUGCUUUUCACUUCUAAUGGAACCUUGUCGGAGAUCCCAGUUACUCUCUGCUUUCUGCACGUAGUCCCCCCUUCCUUUGAUCUCGGAUAAAGCCAUGGAGCGAAUUGUCCUGUCCGGUCAAAGUCUACUUCUGCAUCACGCUGGUGUCUCUCCUGAGCAUCAUUGGGUUAACCAUAAAGACCCUCGUGCAAAAGUCAGACGAGAACUUCACCGUCUCCCUCAUUCAGCUCAUCGGCGUGGUGUUCUGCAUUUACUACGUGACCCGGGGCAUCCUCCAGGAGAACCGCCAGGAGCUCAUCGUCUUCAUCCUCUCCAUCCUGCUGGUGAUGUUCCGCUCCCUGGUCAACUUCCUCGUGC
rnacentral:lncRNA from 1 species